GCCCGAGUGGCUCAGUCGGGUAAGCAUCUAACUUCGGCUCAGGUCAUGAUCUCGUGGCCCGUGGGUUCGAGCCCCGCGUCGGGCU
rnacentral:tRNA from 1 species